rnacentral:rRNA from 1 species
GUCCUAGCUGUAAACGGUGCAUAUUUGCUGUAAAAGGAAUCGACCCCUUUGUGGCGAAGCUAACGCGUUAAAUAUGCCUCCUGGGAAGUACGGUCGCAAGAUUAAAACUCAAAGAAAUUGACGGGGGCCGUGCACAAGCGGUGGAGUAUGUGGCUUAAUUCGAUGCAACGCGAAGAACCUUACCUGGCCUUGACAUGCAUAUAGUAGAAGGGUGAAAGCCUGACGAGGUAGCAAUACCAGUAUGCACAGGUGCUGCAUGGCUGUCGU